UCCUACGGGUGGCAGCAGUGGGGAAUCUUAGACAAUGGGGGCAACCCUGAUCUAGCCAUGCCGCGUGAGUGAUGAAGGCCUUAGGGUUGUAAAGCUCUUUCAGCUGGGAAGAUAAUGACGGUACCAGCAGAAGAAGCCCCGGCUAACUCCGUGCCAGCAGCCGCGGUAAUACGGAGGGGGCUAGCGUUGUUCGGAAUUACUGGGCGUAAAGCGCACGUAGGCGGACUGGAAAGUUGGGGGUGAAAUCCCGGGGCUCAACCUCGGAACUGCCUUCAAAACUAUCAGUCUGGAGUUCGAGAGAGGUGAGUGGAAUUCCGAGUGUAGAGGUGAAAUUCGUAGAUAUUCGGAGGAACACCAGUGGCGAAGGCGGCUCACUGGCUCGAUACUGACGCUGAGGUGCGAAAGCGUGGGGAGCAAACAGGAUUAGAUA
rnacentral:rRNA from 1 species